CCUACGGGCGGCAGCAGUGAGGAAUAUUGGUCAAUGGACGCAAGUCUGAACCAGCCAUGCCGCGUGCAGGAUGACGGCUCUAUGAGUUGUAAACUGCUUUUGUACGAGGGUAAACGCAGAUACGCGUAUCUGUCUGAAAGUAUCGUACGAAUAAGGAUCGGCUAACUCCGUGCCAGCAGCCGCGGUAAUAAGGAGGAUUCAAGCGUUAUCCGGAUUUAUUGGGGUUAAAGGGUGCGUAGGCGGUCGGAUAAGUUAGAGGUGAAAUCUCGAGGCUCAACUUCGGAAUUGCCUCUGAUACUGUUCGGCUAGAGAGUAGUUGCGGUAGGCGGAAUGUAUGGUGUAGCGGUGAAAUGCUUAGAGAUCAUACAGAACACCGAUUGCGAAGGCAGCUUACCAAGCUACUUCUGACGUUGAGGCACGAAAGCGUGGGGAGCGAACAGGAUUAGAUACCCCAGUAGUC
rnacentral:rRNA from 1 species